UACGAAGGGGGCUAGCGUUGCCCGGAAUCACUGGGCGUAAAGGGUGCGUAGGCGGGUCUUUAAGUCAGGGGGGAAAUCCUGGAGCUCAACUCCAGAACUGCCUUUGAUACUGAAGAUCUUGAGUUCGGGAGAGGUGAGUGGAACUGCGAGUGUAGAGGUGAAAUUCGUAGAUAUUCGCAAGAACACCAGUGGCGAAGGCGGCUCACUGGCUCGAUACUGACGCUGAGGCACGAAAGCGUGGGGAGCAAACAGG
rnacentral:rRNA from 1 species